CUGGCUUCGGAUGAUUCAGCCGUUCAUCACUGCUAAAAGGGGAUAUGGUGUUCUUCUCAGAUCCAGUGGCACAAUCUGCAAUGUGUCUUGUGCUUCCCACUUUUAAGACCUCUGCUUGCUGCAAUUCAUUUCACUGAACAGACAGAAGAGUACCAGGAAGUGGAGAGUUUCUUCUGGGCUAGUGAGCAGAGCUGUAGCCAGAGCUGGCACCGAGGUGGAGUGGGCCUGGGCAGCUUGGAGCAGGAACAAAAGAAGAGGAAGAGGGAGAGGAAAAGGGGAAAGGAGCUGCCUUUAGGCAGUGGCAAGGCAAGUGACAAACAAAUCAUUAAGGCAUUGAUCACCUCAUGUAAAAGAUGGUGAAGGACUUCAGUGAGAAAAGGCAUUAGCAGGUGAGGCUGUGUGACACAAGACAUUCCGUGCCUGGUGCCUGAGGAUCACCCACCAGUGAAGCUACUCCUCCGGCUGAUGGGUCUGUCUGGGCACAGGCGUCAGGCAGAGCACACUGCAAUUGUGCCUCCGUUGCUGCGAGACGUCAGAAAGGCUACAAGCUGAUGGCAUCACUCAGCUCCACUGGGGUAAUCACCACCAGCAGGGACUCUGGCUCACCUAACUCCUCUCUUUAUGUCUGUGUAAUAAACUGUUUCCAGUAGA